CAACUGGCUUCUACCGGUAGGUGACAGGGCAGUGUUCCCAGCAGUGGGACAAGAGGCACUGGCACCAGGCCAUGAGCCAUGCAUUCCUAGCUCUGCAGGGCAUGCAUGCCACGCGGACUGUGACAGUGAGCUCUUCCAGGCCCCCAGUGAGCCUGAGAGGGGGUCUGGGAAGAGUCAAGAGACACCCAGACAGUGCCAUGUGGCAGUGAAGCCUCUGGUCCCAAUCUGCCAGGGUGCAAAGCCCCAGGACUGCUGGUGGGAUGUUGGCUACAACAGAAUGGCAGAGAGGAAAGGACCCUCCGGGAUCUUCCAGUUCAGCCAGCCCAUUUUACAGAGGUGGAGACUGAGGCCAGAGGCAGGUCUGGUCCAGACAGCUGUGAGAAGUCCCCUGGAGGCAGCGUCCCAGUGGAGCUGGGAGGAAAGAGGGGCCCAGAAAAAGGAAUUUGACCUCUGAUCUGCAGCCAGUUGGUAGCAUUAUUCUGGAUUAUCCUAAAUUGAGCCUGGAACCCUGGGCUUGUGUGACAGACCAAGGGGCCCCACGGGCUCUCUCUGCUCAGGCAGCUGGAGACACAGGUAGCGCCGUAACACCCAGCGACACAGGCAUGAUUCUUUUCCAUAAAACAUUCACACCACUGCCAGCCUUGAUUCUCAAAACAGCCCUGCCAAGGAGAGGCUGUUACUGUCCCAUUUUACAGAUGAAAACAUCAAGGCUCAGGGCCGG
rnacentral:lncRNA from 1 species